GGUGACACAUUCAUAAUAAAGGAAUUUCGGAAUUGAAGGAUAAUAAAUACGACAACUUAGAUAGAAAUUCUCCCAACCAGGAUCAAAAGUCCGGAGGUCUGAGACAACAAGAUAACACUUCAAACUAGACAUACAUCUAUGCGAGGUUCAGUUGCUAGAAAUGCGAUUGCCAAAAGAGUUCAUAAUAAUUAGGCUAGGAAUAUUUAAAGAGUCAAUCUCAAAAGAUAUCCACCUAAGUGAAUAUUAUGGCAGCGGAAUUUAUUCUUGACAUUCAUUUGGGAAUACAGCAACACCCUCCCUCAGCUUCGCACGUCACCAUCUGCCGCUCAACCUGCAAAAGGUUUUGAAAACAAUUGCAGGGCUGAGUACUAAUAUACUCAGUGGGUUUAGCCAUUUGAAAACAUUUGAAAAAAAAAUCCAUUUAAAAGAAUAAUCCAUGCUAUGAACAGUAUAACAUAGAAAUAUUAGAAAGCAUUCCAUGCAUACUUAAAAUAAAUUGUGGAUCCAUUUUCAGUCUUCUCUCUACUGGUGCUUCACCUAUUAUGUGAACUUGUGGGAGCAGCCCACAGAGGUCCACUACCAUGCAUGUUUCAGAAAUGGGAGCAGCCCAAGUCUGACAGUCUGAGGCAAGUGGGAGCAGCCCACAAUCCUAGUUCGGCAAUUAAUCGACCUCUCAUUAAACAUAACUAAAUCCCAAUUUCAAAAUACUUAUUGCAAAAGUAUAGCUUAAAACUUUUGAACUCUUCUGCAAACUCAUGCUAUAAUCACAGAUCUAAAAUCCCAUACUUAAUGCAUAAUAAUAUUUAUUAUGCAACUUUGAAUAAAUAACCAAGCCAAGGCUCAAAUUAAUCAAAAUAAAAUAAAAUAAAAACUUAAGUCCAAAUCUCUUAGUAUGAGCCCAAGUUUAAUCAAAUAAUUCUCAUGCAUCUGGCCCAAUUUAAAAAAAACUGAAGCCCAAAAAUGAGGGCCCAAAUCAACCCAUCCCUUCCUCUUUUAAUUCUCUGUAUCGGUCUCUCUCUCUCUCUCUCUCUCUAUCCCAGCUCUCACCUUCCAUUCCUCCUUUCUCCCUCUGAAAUCUGCAACCGCCUCGCCACUUCUCCAUCGCCGGCGACAACAGCGAUGUCGCCGUCGCGCCUCACUUUUCCCCCUCUCCGUUCUCCCCAUCUUGCUUCUCUCUCUCAAAGAGGAAAUCCCUAAAUUCCAAAAUCCCUAAAUCUGCCCCCUCCCAUCUCCUUCUCUCGGUUGGACGGUCAACGGCAAAGGGCCGCCACCGCCGCCGACUCCAUCUCCUUCACGCCGACAACAGCAGCAGCCGUCAUCGCCGUCCAGCUGCCUCCU
rnacentral:lncRNA from 1 species